rnacentral:rRNA from 1 species
AUGUAGACUUCACCAGGUAGUAAAAAUUUAAACCAAUAAAGCUUGGUAGUUAUAAUUAUUUAGAGAAACUUGUUUUAUAAUCGACAAUUCUCGAUAAAUUUGACUCUUAUUUAAAGUCUAUAUACCGCCGUUUCAGAUAUAAAUUAAACAUAAUAUCAUAAUAAUUUAAAAAUAAAAAAUCAGGUCAAGGUAUAGCCAACAUAAAAGUAAAAAUUAGUUACAAUAAAUAAAAAUUAAGAAAUAUAAUUAAAAACACUAUAAGAAAGAGAAUCUAACAAUAAAUGACUGUUAAAAACGAUCAUUGGACUAUAAAAUUACAAUAC